rnacentral:lncRNA from 1 species
GAAGCCAUUGUUAAAAGUAUUUGUAAUGACCCAAAUUCUAACCCAAAGAAUUCAGGUCGAAGCCCAAAUCUAUUUCCAGAGGCCCAUGGUAUUUUCCUAUAAAAACCCACAUUUAUCCACUUUAGUUUCUCACAAACUCUAUACAAAAAAAAGAAGAAGAGCUAGAGAGAGAGUGAGCUAAGAGAAGAAGUGUGAUCAUUUUACAGAGAGUGGGUCGCCGGAGCUCGUGCCGGAGCAACCGUGUGCCGUGAUCACGUUCAGCUCGAUACCACCGAUCGUCCCCCUAGGUAACCACCACAAAACUGCCAUGCAUUUAGUUCAGUUUCGGCCGUUUUAGUAAAUCAACCAUAUCGCCCUAACUGUUGCGAAUUUCGUGUAUGCAAGACCACCAUCGUGUUCCUUUCGUCGAGACGAAGCCGUAGACACCAACCACGCCGUAAUCGGAUCCCGGACGAAGCCGCUAAAGCCUCCCAAAGUUUUGCAUUCGCG